CUGAACUCCAUUAAAGCAGUCGAGGCACAUUCGAAAACCUCUGACAGCUAUCUGAGUGCAUUCCAAGCAGUCAACAUUCAUGUGGCCAGCCCGAAUGUAGAGCACAUGCACGAAACUCUCAAGGUGUGUUUGAGGUGUAAAAGCUUGAAAGGUAGCUGACCACAGUUUGAUUGUAUG